rnacentral:rRNA from 1 species
UAGGGAAUCUUCCACAAUGGGCGAAGCUGAUGGAGCAACGCCGCGUGAGUGAAGAAGGGUUUCGGCUCGUAAAGCUCUGUUGUUAAAGAAGAACACGUAUGAGAGUAACUGUUCAUACGUUGACGGUAUUUAACCAGAAAGUCACGGCUAACUACGUGCCAC